AGAUACUGGUAGCUCCCUGCAGUGAGUCAUUAUAGAAGUGCAUCAAAUAACAAGCAAUGACAGCUAGCUAGUGGUGACUGAAGGCUGACAGAUGGUCAAUAAAUUCAGAACUGGCACAUUUUUGUCACUAAAAGAUAGGCUGCAACUUCCUGGAGAAUCUGCAAACAACAAGAAGGGAUUUAAAAAAAACAAUAUUAUGAGAUUUUGGCUGCAGGAUACAAAAGAAACUCAGUGUUCACUGCAUAGCACAAUGAAAUAUAAAAUGUAAUUUUCCAAUCUUU